CGGUCUCAGUUCGGAUUGGGGUCUGCAACUCGACCCCAUGAAGUCGGAGUCGCUAGUAAUCGCAGAUCAGCAACGCUGCGGUGAAUACGUUCCCGGGCCUUGUACACACCGCCCGUCAAGUCACGAAGUCGGUAACACCCGAAGCCGGUGGCCUAACCCUUGUGGGAGGGAGCCGUCGAAGGUGGGACCAGCGAUUGGGACUAAGUCGUAACAAGGUAGCCGUACCGGAAGGUGCGGCUGGAUCACCUCCUU
rnacentral:rRNA from 1 species